GGCAGCGUGGUCUAGUGGGCAGGGCACUGGCGUGGGAGUCAAGUAGAGCUGGGUUUGAUUCCCAGCUCUGCCA
rnacentral:tRNA from 1 species